GCGAGGCCGAAAGGCGUAGUCGAUGGGAAACAGGUUAAUAUUCCUGUACUUGGUGUUACUGCGAAGGGGGGACGGAGAAGGCUAUGUUAGCCGGGCGACGGUUGUCCCGGUUUAAGCAUGUAGGCUGGUUGUCCAGGCAAAUCCGGAUAAUCAAGGCUGAGGUGUGAUGACGAGGCACUACGGUGCUGAAGUAACAAAUGCCCUGCUUCCAGGAAAAGCCUCUAAGCAUCAGGUAACAUUAAAUCGUACCCCAAACCG
rnacentral:rRNA from 1 species